CCCACAGCAUAUGGAGGUUCCCGGGCCAGGGGUCUAAUUGGAGCUGUUGCCACCGGCCUACGCCAGAGCCACAGCAACGCGGGAUCCGAGCUGCAUCUGCGACCUACACCACAGCUCACGGCAAUGCCGGGUCCUUAACCCAGUGAGUAAUGCCAGAGAUCAAACCUGCAACCUCAUGGUUCCUAGUUGGAUUUGUUAACCACUGUGCCACGAUGGGAACUCCAGAAAAUGUCUCUAUUCUUUAAAAAAAAAAAUUUUUUUUUUUAAAUUUUUGGCUGUGACCUUGGUUUGUGGAAGUUUCUGGGCCAGGGAUCAAACCCACACCCCAACAACAACCUGGGCCACUGCAGUGACAACACAGGAUCCUUAACCCACUGUGCCACAAGAGAAUUCCAAAAUUUGAAAGCCAUUCUGAUAUCUAACUCUUUCUCUUUGGAAGCUUUAAUUUUUUAUUUAUUUAUUUUUGUCUUUUUGCUAUUUCUUGGGCCGCUCCCGCAGCAUAUGGAGGUUCCCAGGCUAGGAGUCGAAUCGGAGGUGUAGCCACCGGCCUACACCAGAGCCACAGCAACGUGGGAUCCGAGCCGUGUCUGCAACCUACACCACAGCUCACGGCAACGCCAGACCCUUAACCCACUGAGCAAGGGCAGGGACCGAACCCACAACCUCAUGGUCGGAUUCGUUAACCACUGCGCCACGAUGGGAACUCCGGAAGCUUUUAUUUUAUUCUUUAGUUUAAAAUUUUAUUUUUGGAAAAUCAGUCUGUGGAAGAAAAUAACACAAGCACCUUAUAUUAAAAAUCAAACAAUCCUUUAAACAAAGGAACUGAGAAGUAAAUGUGCUAUAUAAUCUUAAUGCCCAAAGGUAACCAAACUUAACUGGUAUACAUUCUUCUAGAAUUUUAUUCUAUACAUAUACAGAUCUAUUUAUCUUUAUUUUUUAAAUGCUGGGAUUGCAUUAAACUUGCUGUACUUACUUGGUUAUUAUUGUCAUUUAUCUAUACUACUGUAUGUAGACAUGCCUUAUCUCUAGAUUUGGAUCAUUCCUUUGACAGUUUUUAUGAUCCCUAUUUCUAGCAAUAUGAAGUUUUUUGGGGGACAGGUUUUGAUGUGAGAAGGCCUUCAUUAUGCUGGGUUCUUUGAAGGCCCCUUCCAUAUGGAAACUUACUUCCCUCAGACCUGGAAAGUGUUUUUCGAUUACUUCUUCCUCCCCUUCAUUUUCUCUCUUGGUUAUUUGGACUUGGACUUCCAGAUAGGCCAUAUGGCUUUCUCUCAUGUUCCAUCUCUGUUCUUUUGUUUGAGUUUCUAGGGUGUGUCCUCAACUGUGUCUUCUCAUUUACCAGUUGCAUUUUUGUUUCUUUUUUUUUUUAAUUACUGAAUGAAUUUUAUUACAUUUAUAGAUGUUCAAUAAUCAUCACAACCAAAUUUUACAGCACGUCUAUCCCAAACACUCAGUACAUCCCCCACCCCCCAACGUGUCUCAUUUGGAAACCAUAAGUUUUUCAAUGUCUAUGAGUCAGUAUCUGUUCUGCAAAGAAGUUAACUGUGUCCUUUUUAAAUGUUAUACAUGUCAGUUAUAGCAUUUGAUGUUGGUGUCUCAUUGCAUGGCUGACUUCACUUAGCAUGAUAAUUUCUAGGUCCACCCAUGUUGCUACAAUUGCAGUGAUUUCUUUCCUUUUAAUGGCUG
rnacentral:lncRNA from 1 species